rnacentral:rRNA from 1 species
AUGACCAGCUCCCUGUCUGUCUUCUUCCGCAUGGUUGGAUUCCUCAGGAACAGAUUGACCUUCCUGUCGAGCCAACCCACGGUGGUGGUGCUGUCCAUCCACCACGGAGAUUCGCUCCUCCUCUCCGUCGUGGAUUCGCUCCUCCUCCAAUCCCGCGGCACCGUCCUCCACCACGGCUCACUCGCCUCCCUCGAUGCUGCCCUCCUCUCACACGGCUUCGCCGUCCCCGCGCAGCUCAACCCGCUAGAGUACGCCCUCGAGAGGGCGUGGAAGGUGGUGUAUCGCAGCAAGCAGCUGCUAUUGACCAACUUCCUCGAGGCUGUGAUCGUUGGGACGCUGCUGGGCACCAUCUACAUCAACGCCGGAUAUGGCAAGGCCGGCGCACACAAGCGACUGGGGCUCUUCGCCUUCAUGCUGACGUUCCUGCUCACCUCCACCAUGGAGACGCUGCCAACGUUCAUCACGGAGCGAGUAAAUUGCUCAAAGCCACCACAUUUGUGGCUAGGGCAUGCGAUGGCGAGCAGCGCCGCUUCAGCUUCGGCAAGCGCCCCUCCCAUCGAGGUAGCCAUGCCGGCGGCACACAAACCCAGCAAGCCGUGCCCGGAGCCUGAGCUAUCAAGCAGCGCCGCUCCAGCUCAGGUGGUGCUGUCGGUUCCCGCUGGAUCUGGUGCCCGCAGUACGGCGGGGAAGACCCAGGCCGGCAAUGGGCUCGAGCGCGGAAACAGUUGA